GGUUAAGCGACUAAGCGUACACGGUGGAUGCCCUGGCAGUCAGAGGCGAUGAAGGACGUGCUAAUCUGCGAUAAGCGUCGGUGAGGUGAUAUGAACCGUUAUAACCGGCGAUUUCCGAAUGGGGAAACCCAGUGUGUUUCGACACACUAUCAUUAACUGAAUCCAUAGGUUAAUGAGGCGAACCGGGGGAACUGAAACAUCUAAGUACCCCGAGGAAAAGAAAUCAACCGAGAUUCCCCCAGUAGCGGCGAGCGAACGGGGAGGAGCCCAGAGCCUGAAUCAGUGUGUGUGUUAGUGGAAGCGUCUGGAAAGGCGUGCGAUACAGGGUGACAGCCCCGUACACAAAAAUGCACAUAUUGUGAGCUCGAUGAGUAGGGCGGGACACGUGGUAUCCUGUCUGAAUAUGGGGGGACCAUCCUCCAAGGCUAAAUACUCCUGACUGACCGAUAGUGAACCAGUACCGUGAGGGAAAGGCGAAAAGAACCCCGGCGAGGGGAGUGAAAAAGAACCUGAAACCGUGUACGUACAAGCAGUGGGAGCCUCUUAAUGGGGUGACUGCGUACCUUUUGUAUAAUGGGUCAGCGACUUAUAUUCUGUAGCAAGGUUAACCGAAUAGGGGAGCCGAAGGGAAACCGAGUCUUAACUGGGCGUUAAGUUGCAGGGUAUAGACCCGAAACCCGGUGAUCUAGCCAUGGGCAGGUUGAAGGUUGGGUAACACUAACUGGAGGACCGAACCGACUAAUGUUGAAAAAUUAGCGGAUGACUUGUGGCUGGGGGUGAAAGGCCAAUCAAACCGGGAGAUAGCUGGUUCUCCCCGAAAGCUAUUUAGGUAGCGCCUCGUGAAUUCAUCUCCGGGGGUAGAGCACUGUUUCGGCAAGGGGGUCAUCCCGACUUACCAACCCGAUGCAAACUGCGAAUACCGGAGAAUGUUAUCACGGGAGACACACGGCGGGUGCUAACGUCCGUCGUGAAGAGGGAAACAACCCAGACCGCCAGCUAAGGUCCCAAAGUCAUGGUUAAGUGGGAAACGAUGUGGGAAGGCCCAGACAGCCAGGAUGUUGGCUUAGAAGCAGCCAUCAUUUAAAGAAAGCGUAAUAGCUCACUGGUCGAGUCGGCCUGCGCGGAAGAUGUAACGGGGCUAAACCAUGCACCGAAGCUGCGGCAGCGACACUAUGUGUUGUUGGGUAGGGGAGCGUUCUGUAAGCCUGUGAAGGUGGCCUGUGAGGGUUGCUGGAGGUAUCAGAAGUGCGAAUGCUGACAUAAGUAACGAUAAAGCGGGUGAAAAGCCCGCUCGCCGGAAGACCAAGGGUUCCUGUCCAACGUUAAUCGGGGCAGGGUGAGUCGACCCCUAAGGCGAGGCCGAAAGGCGUAGUCGAUGGGAAACAGGUUAAUAUUCCUGUACUUGGUGUUACUGCGAAGGGGGGACGGAGAAGGCUAUGUUGGCCGGGCGACGGUUGUCCCGGUUUAAGCGUGUAGGCUGGUUUUCCAGGCAAAUCCGGAAAACCAAGGCUGAGGCGUGAUGACGAGGCACUACGGUGCUGAAGCGACAAAUGCCCUGCUUCCAGGAAAAGCCUCUAAGCAUCAGGUAACAUCAAAUCGUACCCAAAACCGACACAGGUGGUCAGGUAGAGAAUACCAAGGCGCUUGAGAGAACUCGGGUGAAGGAACUAGGCAAAAUGGUGCCGUAACUUCGGGAGAAGGCACGCUGAUAUGUAGGUGAAGCGACUUGCUCGUGGAGCUGAAAUCAGUCGAAGAUACCAGCUGGCUGCAACUGUUUAUUAAAAACACAGCACUGUGCAAACACGAAAGUGGACGUAUACGGUGUGACGCCUGCCCGGUGCCGGAAGGUUAAUUGAUGGGGUUAGCGGUAACGCGAAGCUCUUGAUCGAAGCCCCGGUAAACGGCGGCCGUAACUAUAACGGUCCUAAGGUAGCGAAAUUCCUUGUCGGGUAAGUUCCGACCUGCACGAAUGGCGUAAUGAUGGCCAGGCUGUCUCCACCCGAGACUCAGUGAAAUUGAACUCGCUGUGAAGAUGCAGUGUACCCGCGGCAAGACGGAAAGACCCCGUGAACCUUUACUAUAGCUUGACACUGAACAUUGAGCCUUGAUGUGUAGGAUAGGUGGGAGGCUUUGAAGUGUGGACGCCAGUCUGCAUGGAGCCGACCUUGAAAUACCACCCUUUAAUGUUUGAUGUUCUAACGUUGGCCCGUAAUCCGGGUUGCGGACAGUGUCUGGUGGGUAGUUUGACUGGGGCGGUCUCCUCCUAAAGAGUAACGGAGGAGCACGAAGGUUGGCUAAUCCUGGUCGGACAUCAGGAGGUUAGUGCAAUGGCAUAAGCCAGCUUGACUGCGAGCGUGACGGCGCGAGCAGGUGCGAAAGCAGGUCAUAGUGAUCCGGUGGUUCUGAAUGGAAGGGCCAUCGCUCAACGGAUAAAAGGUACUCCGGGGAUAACAGGCUGAUACCGCCCAAGAGUUCAUAUCGACGGCGGUGUUUGGCACCUCGAUGUCGGCUCAUCACAUCCUGGGGCUGAAGUAGGUCCCAAGGGUAUGGCUGUUCGCCAUUUAAAGUGGUACGCGAGCUGGGUUUAGAACGUCGUGAGACAGUUCGGUCCCUAUCUGCCGUGGGCGCUGGAGAACUGAGGGGGGCUGCUCCUAGUACGAGAGGACCGGAGUGGACGCAUCACUGGUGUUCGGGUUGUCAUGCCAAUGGCACUGCCCGGUAGCUAAAUGCGGAAGAGAUAAGUGCUGAAAGCAUCUAAGCACGAAACUUGCCCCGAGAUGAGUUCUCCCUGACUCCUUGAGAGUCCUGAAGGAACGUUGAAGACGACGACGUUGAUAGGCCGGGUGUGUAAGCGCAGCGAUGCGUUGAGCUAACCGGUACUAAUGAACCGUGAGGCUUAACCUU
rnacentral:rRNA from 3 species